rnacentral:rRNA from 1 species
UACGUAGGUGGCAAGCGUUGUCCGGAUUUACUGGGUGUAAAGGGCGUGUAGGCGGGAUUGCAAGUCAGAUGUGAAAUCUCUCGGCUCAACCGAGAGCGCGCAUUUGAAACUGUGAUUCUUGAGUGAUGGAGAGGCAGGCGGAAUUCCUUGUGUAGCGGUGAAAUGCGUAGAUAUAAGGAGGAACACCAGUGGCGAAGGCGGCCUGCUGGACAUUAACUGACGCUGAGGCGCGAAAGCGUGGGGAGCAAACAGG